UUAACUAUUAUAUAGUACUCAGACGACACUAACAUUCAGAGUUUGGGUUUUCUCUGGCAGGCACGAUCCAGCCGGAGCCGGUGCCCGAAGGCGGCCUGCCAAAGCAACAAAGAUAUAAUACACAAGGGUGGGCGUUUCUACCCGUGAGGGCAGGGAACACUGUAAUGAUCCUUCCGCAGGUUCACCUACGGAAA
rnacentral:misc_RNA from 1 species